GGUGCAAGCGUUACUCGGAAUUACUGGGCGUAAAGCGUGCGUAGGUGGUUCGUUAAGUCUGAUGUGAAAGCCCUGGGCUCAACCUGGGAAUGGCAUUGGAAACUGGCGACCUAGAGUGCGGUAGAGGGUAGUGGAAUUCCCGGUGUAGCAGUGAAAUGCGCAGAUAUCAGGAAGAACACCCGUGGCGAAGGCGGCUCUCUGGUACGUGACUGACGCUGAGACGCGAAAGCGUGGGGAGCGAACAGG
rnacentral:rRNA from 1 species